rnacentral:rRNA from 1 species
CCCGCUGAACUUAAGCAUAUCAAUAAGCGGAGGAAAAGAAACUAACAAGGAUUCCCCUAGUAACGGCGAGUGAAGCGGGAUGAGCUCAAAUUUAAAAUCUGGCUGGUUUACUAGUCCGAGUUGUAGUUUAAAGAAGCGUUUUCGGUGGCAGUCUCGGUAAAAGUCCUUUGGAAUAGGGCAUCACAGAGGGUGAGAAUCCCGUCUUUGACUGAGAAUAUGCUACUAUGUGAUACGUUUUCAAAGAGUCGAGUUGUUUGGGAAUGCAGCUCAAAAUGGGUGGUAAAUUUCAUCUAAAGCUAAAUAUUGGCGAGAGACCGAUAGCGAACAAGUACCGUGAGGGAAAGAUGAAAAGAACUUUGAAAAGAGAGUUAAACAGUGCGUGAAAUUGUUGAAAGGGAAACGCUUGAAACCAGUCAUGCGGCUGGGAAAUCAGUCUCUGACGAGGGGGAAUGGGAGAGGUGUGGACCGCAAGGCUGCUCUUUUUCAUAUCUUUUUCGGCAGGGAUGCACUUUUUCUUCCGCAGGUCAACAUCAGUUUGCUUUGCCGGACAAAACUCUUGGGAAGGUGACAGCUUAGGCUGUGUUAUAGCCCUGGAGCGAUACGGUGGAGCGGACUGAGGUUUUCGCAGCAUGUGCUCUCGGGCAAGGCUGAUUGGGUGCUAUGAGAUCGUUCAGGGUACAAUACAUGUAUUUUGCCUUGUGUCUCUUUUAUACUCGCUCAACUCGGCUCUUGCAUGCUCAGGAUGUUGACAUAAUGGUUUUAAUCGACCCGUCUUGAAACACGG